rnacentral:lncRNA from 1 species
GUACAGCUUUAAUACAUCUCGAGAGAUAGAUGAUCAGCUUCAGGAGAGGAGACACAGAGACCAGAAAACCCUUCCCUUUUAUAGGCUGCGAAAAAACAAAAACGGUUGGAGAUGUGCACCACUGGGAUUGGCUGCCCACUAUCAGUCAGUUAACGCCAGGAGAGAGGCAGGGCUCAGGCUGGACUCUACCUUGAGCUCUUCCUAUUACUGCCUCUGAAGACUGGUAUUACAGGAACACCUUUUAUGGUUUUAACUGGCUCCCACAGUCCUGACUCUUAACUCAGUUCCUGGAUCCAUGCAGAGGUCAACUGAUUUACUGCAAAGCCAAGAUGAUAAAACAGAAAAUGGAAAGAUGACCUUCUAGUCUAGCAAAGGAGAGUAGAGGAAAAAGAAGAGACUUUUUUUCCUUGAGUAUCCAUAUCAUCCUACGAAGGUGACUUUGAACACCUGCUGAAAUAUAAAUGACAUUUAAUGAUGCUGAAAUGACAGUCACCUUUUUAAAACAAUGUUCAUCAAAAAGUAUUCUAUUGGCAUGUAAUCUGUCUUCUUCAUGUCGUCGUUGACUACACAUCAGAUUUUGAAAGCUUUCCCUCACUGUAAACCUAACAAAGAAUGUUAGCAAUAUGGGAUAUGGAACCUGAAAUGGGCACCUCCUGUAACCAGUAAUAUGCCAUUGUGGACUGACAGUCCAUGCAGAACCAGACAAAAGGCGAUUAAUUCAUCCAGCUGCACUCUGCACAGAGGUAAAGAUUCAUCUCAAUUGUGAGUGCAAUUAUUCUCUGGACAGAAGAUUCAGAACUUUAUAAAAUGGAUGAUGCAUUGAGUACCAAGUUCAUUCAGAGGCCUCUGCCAUGACUGUGCAUGUGGAAUGGCUAUGCGCUCUAGUUCCUACCACCUACACCUUUCUCUGUGAUGGUCUUUUGAUGUAUCCUGAACUAUGAGGGAAAAUAAAAUUUCUCCUUAAAUU